rnacentral:rRNA from 1 species
AUUGAACGCUGGCGGCAGGCUUAACACAUGCAAGUCGAGCGGAGAUGAGGUGCUUGCACCUUAUCUUAGCGGCGGACGGGUGAGUAAUGCUUAGGAAUCUGCCUAUUAGUGGGGGACAACAUUCCGAAAGGAAUGCUAAUACCGCAUACGUCCUACGGGAGAAAGCAGGGGAUCUUCGGACCUUGCGCUAAUAGAUGAGCCUAAGUCGGCUUAGCUAGUUGUUGGGGUAAAGGCCUACCAAGGCGACGAUCUGUAGCGGGUCUGAGAGGAUGAUCCGCCACACUGGGACUGAGACACGGCCCAGACUCCUACGGGAGGCAGCAGUGGGGAAUAUUGGACAAUGGGGGGAACCCUGAUCCAGCCAUGCCGCGUGUGUGAAGAAGGCCUUAUGGUUGUAAAGCACUUUAAGCGAGGAGGAGGCUACUGAGACUAAUACUCUUGGAUAGUGGACGUUACUCGCAGAAUAAGCACCGGCUAACUCUGUGCCAGCAGCCGCCGUAAAAC